AUACAGGGAAGUAGAGUGUGAGAUGGGAGUGAGCCCCAGAAGAGACAUCUAAAACAGAUUCUGGCACCAGGAGGAGGCUGGAGCAGGUGGACUUUUGAAAGAGAUGAGGUCUGCACCCAGCCAGCCAAGUGAAAUAGCAGGGGAGAUGAUCCUGCGGAAGAAGCAGCUAGAGCACAGACAUGGCAUCACGAGAUGUGCAGCCUUCUCUGGAACUGCAUGGAAAUUUGUUCAAUAGGGAGUUCUUGGUGACCAAGUGAUGGAGGAAGAGAACACUCAGGCCUAAUCUGCACGUGGUUCUGCACUACAGGCAGACACUACUCAAAAGGGCACAGCUAAGAUCAAAAUGGACAGAGGAUGCACAAAAUCCCCACUCUGAGGUGGUGUUGAAGAACAAGGGUGAAGGGAAACCCUCUACAUACACAGAAUUUUGAGCACUGCACCUGGUUGUCCAUUUUGCUUGGAAGGAGAGAUAUAUAGAAGUACAAGUCUAUACUGAUUCAUGGGUCAUGGCUAACACUUGGCUGGAAAGUCAGGAGAUUUGAAAGGAAUGUGAUUGAAAAAUCGGUGACAAAGAGAUCUGGAAGGAAAGGUUGACAGAUCUCUUCAAAUGGGUAUGGCAUGUGUAGGUAUUUAUGUUCUAUGAAAAUGCUCUCCAAAGAGUGAACUCAACAGAGGAGUAUUUGAAUAAUCAAGUGGAAAGGAUAAGCCUUUCUGUGGACAUGAGUCAGCCUGGUUCUCCAGCAAUUACUGUCAUUUCCCAAGUGGCUCGUGAAUAAAUUGGCCACGGAGGCCAAGAUGAAAGUUACGCAGGGGCACGGCAACAUAGAUGUCUACUUCCCAGGGCCCACCUGGCUAUGGCCACUGCAGAGAGCCCAGUCUGCUAGCAGCAGAGGUCAACGGUGAAUACCUGACACAGCACCAUUCCCAGCUACUGACUAACCACCUAUUGGCAGGGUGAUUAUUACAUUAAAUCACUUCUCUCGUUGAAGGAGCAGUGCUUUGUUCUUAUUGGAAUAGACAUUGACUUUGGAUACACACUUGCUUUCCCUGCCCACAAUGCUUCGCCAAAACCACUACGAAAACCAUACACAGAAUGAUUUAUGCACUAUCACGAUAUUUCACACAGCAUCACUUCUGAUCAAGAAACUUACUUCCAAGCAAAUGAAGUGCAGCAAUUGCUUCAUAUUGUUCACAGGUCUUAUCAUGUUCAUCAUCACCCCAAAGUAGGUGGCUUGACAGAAUGAUGGAAUAACGUUUUGAAGACUCAGUUAUGUCCCUAUGACAUUAGGUUCUACUGGCCUGGAGGUCUUAGUUCCAAAGGGAAGAGUGUGUCCACCAGGGCACCCACUGAUGACUCUGUUGAACUGGAGUGCCCCCUUUAACUCAUGCCAUUGAAUCAACAGGCAAAGAAGGGAGUGAUUGAACCUGAUUGGCUUCUACACAAAGAGCAGCUGGGCCUGUAACUGCUUUGCCUCCCCCUGGAUUCUCCUCCAGCUCCUCCAACUCCUGGGCCAGGAAAUUCAUGGUCACCGUUUUUCCUCAGCAUGUCGUACUCCCAGUUAUAUAGUUCUUAUAUGUACGAACCACCCAGCAAGCCUUUGAAAAGAGAAAGAGGAAAGAGAAGAAAAUUCUAAUUCAACUCUCCAUAUAGCUAAACAGCUAUCCAACAGACCUAGGUGAAGUCUUCGGCUCUCUGAUUUCCCCGAAGCCAGUGCGCUGGGUCAUGGGGCUGGCUGACCUCCCAGCACCACCUACCUCCUCUCUAUGAGAUGCCAUCAGAUCCCACCCAAAGGAGCCAGUCGUCCCUGUGAAACAAUAAGCAAUUCUUACGAGAUACAAGUGGAGCUCUGUUACUGUGGCACAGGAAGGCUCGAUAAGAUCUUCCAGCCACAGCAUUCUUUUGUGUCAGCAGACGCAAGUGGGAUGUUCCUUCUGCAGCUCUUACGGAGCAAGAGGAAGCAGGCUUUGAAACACAAUGUUCAUUGAAAUCGGCUUUCAUCUAAGGAAUCCCAUGGUGGCUCCUGGUCCACGCGAUGUGCAUUCUGUCUGCAGCUGGGCUCUCCUGAUGCAUUUCCGUUGUUUGUUCUAGGGGGAAGGCAGCACCUUUAUGAGACUCACUCUUACUAGGUAAAGGGCAUCACAUUGUGCUAGGCAGAGCAUUCUGUGUCAGGAUGUCUCCAGUGAGUCUGGAGCCUAGAAGGAACAUUUAAAAAAAAAAAAAAAAAAAAACAAUCCUCAGCCAUCCUGGCUCACGGAUGAAGCACUAGCUCUGUCAGGAGAGGAACAUGAAGCCGCCCAGAUGACUCUUGGGCAGUACAUGCAUGCUUGGUGAUUUUAGGAGAAGGAAAUGUUUGUUGCUUUAGCUAUUACAGCAGGCACGAUGCCACAGGCCAUAAAUAGUGGUAAGUAACUAUGGUUUGAGUGCUGCAGGCCCAAAAGAACCUUCCCCAAAGCCAAUUGGUCUCUAUUAUUCCAAUUCUGGCUCUCAAAGGACAAAAAAUGAAGAGGAGGAAGUGAUCCACAGUGUCAAAUCAUAGGUAAGAAGUUUCUCCAUUCUGCUGUCCUAGUGGAAUAACAAUUCAUCUUCUUUUCAGGGAAAACUAUUUUGGAUUCAAUAAAGAGUCUCU
rnacentral:lncRNA from 1 species